rnacentral:snRNA from 1 species
UGUGAGGAUGAUCUGGCUGUGACAUCUGUCACCCCAUUGAUCACCAGGGUUGGUUCGGCUGAUCUGGCUGCCUAGGUGGGUGUCCCCUUCCUCCCUCACCACUCCAUGUGCUUCCCUCCUGAAGCUGUGAGCUCAGUGGAAGAGGACAACCUUCCCCAAUAGAGGAGGAUUGGUCUUUGGUCAAGACCCUCCAAACAAGCUCUCAAGAAUGUUAUUUUUUUUUUAAAAAAGCCCUGAUAUGACAUUAUGAGAUAAAGAACCUCCAAAGGUGCCUUU